rnacentral:rRNA from 1 species
UCAGGCCUAGCACAUGCAAGUCGUACGAGAGUUUUUAACUCUAGUGGCGGACGGGUGAGUAACACGUGAGAAUUUGCCUUUAGGAGGGGGACAACAAUUGGAAACGAAUGCUAAUACCCCAUAUGCUUUAGAGUGAAAUGGAUUUUAUCCGCCUAGAGAGAAGCUCGCGGCUGAUUAGCUUGUUGGUAAGGUAAGAGCUUACCAAGGCGACGAUCAGUAUCUGGUUUGAGAGGACGAUCAGACACACUGGAACUGAGACGCGGUCCAGACUCCUACGGGAGGCAGCAGUGGGGAAUUUUCCGCAAAGGGCGAAAGCCUGACGGAGCAAUACCGCGUGAGGUAAAAAGGCCUAUGGGUUGUAAACCUCUUUUUCAGGGAGGAAUAAAUGAC